GCAUCGGUGGUUUAGUGGUAAAAUUAGCCGUUGCCAUGUAUCUACAUGAUUCGGCUAGCCCCGGGUUCGAUUCCCGGCCGAUGCA
rnacentral:tRNA from 1 species